rnacentral:rRNA from 1 species
GCUAACUACCUGCCAUCAGCCGCGGUAAUACUUAGGGUGCAAGCGUUAAUCGGAAUUACUGGGCGUAAAGCGUGCGCAGGCGGUUUUGUAAGUCUGACGUGAAAGCCCCGGGCUCAACCUGGGAAU